UCGGCUUUUUGAGCAUUUUAAAGCUGUUAGUUUAAGUUCAGGACGCAGGAUAGCUCCUAGUACAAGAAGCUGGAUAAUUCACAAGGAUACUCGGAAAACUGCUGUAGGUCGAGUAAUUUGUAAUUACAGCAAAUAAAAGUGCAACAAAGAUAUUUAUGAAACACAAAAAUCCAGUAUUUCAGUAAAGCCAGGUAUUUUUUCGGUACAGCGAAACCAG
rnacentral:lncRNA from 1 species